AGUGAACGCUGGCGGUAGGCCUAACACAUGCAAGUCGAACGGCAGCACAGUAAGAGCUUGCUCUUACGGGUGGCGAGUGGCGGACGGGUGAGGAAUACAUCGGAAUCUACUUUUUCGUGGGGGAUAACGUAGGGAAACUUACGCUAAUACCGCAUACGACCUACGGGUGAAAGCAGGGGAUCUUCGGACCUUGCGCGAUUGAAUGAGCCGAUGUCGGAUUAGCUAGUUGGCGGGGUAAAGGCCCACCAAGGCGACGAUCCGUAGCUGGUCUGAGAGGAUGAUCAGCCACACUGGAGCUGAGACACGGUCCAGACUCCUGCGGGAGGCAGCAGUGGGGAAUAUUGGGCAAAGGGGGCGAGCCUGAUCCAGCCAUACCGCGUGGGUGAAGAAGGCGUUCUGGUUGUAAAGCCCUUUUGUUGGGAGAGAAAAGCAGCAGGUUAAUACCCCGCUGUUCUGACGGUACCCAAAGAAUAAGCACCGGCUAACUUCGUG
rnacentral:rRNA from 1 species